AGUGAACGCUGGCGGUAGGCCUAACACAUGCCAGUCGAACGGCAGCACAGUAAGAGCUUGCUCUUACGGGUGGCGAGUGGCGGACGGGUGAGGAAUACAUCGGAAUCUACUUUUUCGUGGGGGAUAACGUAGGGAAACUUACGCUAAUACCGCAUACGACCUACGGGUGAAAGCAGGGGAUCUUCGGACCUUGCGCGAUUGAAUGAGCCGAUGUCGGAUUAGCUAGUUGGCGGGGUAAAGGCCCACCAAGGCGACGAUCCGUAGCUGGUCUGAGAGGAUGAUCAGCCACACUGGAACUGAGACACGGUCCAGACUCCUACGGGAGGCAGCAGUGGGGAAUCUUGGACAAUGGGCGCAAGCCUGAUCCAGCCAUACCGCGUGGGUGAAGAAGGCCUUCGGGUUGUAAAGCGCUUUUGUUCGGAAAGAAAAACAGCAGGUUAAUACCCGGCUGUUAUGACGGUACCCAAAGAAUAAGCACCGGCUAACUUCGUG
rnacentral:rRNA from 1 species